rnacentral:rRNA from 1 species
UACGUAGGGUGCAAGCGUUGUCCGGAAUUAUUGGGCGUAAAGAGCUCGUAGGCGGUUUGUUGCGUCGGCUGUGAAAUCCCGAGGCUCAACCUCGGGUCUGCAGUCGAUACGAGCAAACUAGAGUGUUGCAGGGGAGACUGGAAUUCCUGGUGUAGCGGUGAAAUGCGCAGAUAUCAGGAGGAACACCGGUGGCGAAGGCGGGUCUCUGGGCCCGAUACUGACGCUGAGGAGCGAAAGCGUGGGGAGCGAACAGG